ACCUGGUUGAUUCUGCCAGUAGUCAUAUGCUUGUCUCAAAGAUAAGCCAUGCAU
rnacentral:rRNA from 1 species